AAGCCUGGACACACCCUAUGAGAUAGGUAUGUUAAGUGUUGCUGUCCUUGUUUUUGCAGACAAGAAGGUUUGGCAAGAUGCUGAGAGCUUCCACAGCCCAGGCAGGAACGGGGCAGUCUGGCAGACAGCUUGUGAGGGGGGCCAGCUGACACCUGGCUUCCCAGCCAAAGAGCUUGGAAAUGCAUAUUGGAAGAAAGUAAGGAAGGUUGAUCAGCGCACGGGUGUCGUGUCCUGUUUCCAAGGCGUCCACAAAGAGCUUGGAAACCUUCUCCCCAAACUCCACGUUGUCGCUGCAUCCUCCCCAGACCCAGCCUCGGCCACCUGCAAGGCAGACACAGGCUGAGCACAGAACUGCCAAAUUCUGCCCUGAAACCCGUGUGGGGAUGGAGAGAGGGUGUCAGUCCAUCUGGGAUGGCAGCUCACCCACACGGCCGUUCCUGGAGUCGUCACAGCCGCAGCUCUCGAAGUCCCCCAGGCUGCAGUUCCUGGUGAGGGUGUACAUGACACCAGCAGAGCUGAUGGCGUGUACAAAGGAUGUUUCCCGGGUCGCUGGAGGAGAGGGGGAAAAAAGCUGUCACGUGCAAGCACAGACAUCAGCCCCAGAUUGUCAGGGAUGAAGACCUCCUGUGCUACAAAGGGGCAAGGAGAAAAUACCCCCCUCCAAGUUUGUGCAAAAGGUAAAGUGCUACAGAAAUUAAAUUCUCAUGACUGGAUCUUUUCAGGCUUCAGCAUUGUGGGUUACAGCAGUUUCGCUGAAUAUUAUGCAGGUGUCCAUGCAGAGGAUGGAACCUCUUGGCAAGAGUAGGAUCUUAAGACAGUGCUCUGGCCAAGGUGAAUUGGCCCUUCACCUGGCUCUCGGUUCAUCUCUGUCCUUCCCUGCCUGGAGGUAUGUUGUGCUUUGAUCUUGCCUCCUGGGGAAAAUCAUCAUGGAUCCUUGGAAUCUGUGCUAAGAGCUGUCUGCUCCCACACUCCUGAUCUAGUUCGUUUUGGCUUUCUGAACAGAUCCAAAUACAGAUGUUGCUCUGGGGAAGAGGAAAUUCCUGCCCGUUGAAGUAGAUAAUAUUUAAAAAUAUCUACAACUUUCUUAUGAAAACAGUUUCUUAGUGCACAUCUCUGGCUUCUCCCUUCAUCUCUCCUGUGCUUCUCCCCACUGGAAGCUUGGGUGUCUGUGACACUGCACUCCCCGGGAUGCUGUACUGCUCAAAGUGACAGAAGCAAACCCAUGGAGCAGCAUUGCAGGGAGGACUGAGCUCUAGCCUAGCAUGGAUAGGGAUCCAGAGAGAGCCUGGGGUCCCUAGGAAAAUUUUAGUGCUAAUUAUGACACCAGCAAUACAGACAGAGGAAAAACAACUGUGAUUUUUGGGACGGCAAAGCCCUUCUCCAUCAGUCAAUUUAACUGGCAGCACCAGCUCUCUCCAGAGCACAUCCCAGCUGGGGCAGGGAUGCUGUGGGGCAGGUGGAGGUGCACUCACCGCUGCGGAGCCGGUUGUGUGUGGAGAGCUGCAGGGCGCUCUCGGGGCAGUUCCAGCGCUCCCACCCGAACUGGAACUUGCACUCCUCCAUCCCACUGUGUGCCCCGGCUGCCACGCUGCUGGAGUACGUCAGGUCCUGUCAUCAGGAAGUUAUUCACGGACCUGAAACAAAGAAAAGAAGAUGAAUCACACAGCUUACCACAGGCUGAGGAGCAUCCCUAAAAAAUGCCCUUUCCACUGAGUUGGACCCUACCAUGCUGCUGUAUGGAGAAUGGCACUGUAGAACCCUGUGAGGGAGAGGAUGAGGAAGGUGCUUCUCUUCAUGGCUGCCACAAGGAGCAGGGUUGGAUCCCUUUGGCUGAUCCGUAGCUCUCCGCACCACAGGUCUCCGAGCAAGCAGGGCCGCCUCCCUCCGCUCCUUCCCAAGGUUUCUUGCAGUUUUAUUCCUGUCAACUGGCCAACGUCUCUGCUGAAGAGCCAGCUGGAGUCCGCUCUCCCCCAUGUUUCAUCAACAAAAUUGCCAGCUUGUUCUGAUUCAGUAUCUUUAUUGUUGUUGAUGAGGCUAAAUGAAUCAGAAAGAACACAGCGAUGUAUACAAAAUACAAAUUCAGAAACCUCAUCCUGAUGCGAGGAGAUUUUAUUAGCGGUUCAAGUGGAGAAGUCUGCUGUGGAAGGAGAGGAGACAGCACAAACAGACCUGAGAGGCCACUUCCCUUGACCCUACACAUUUUAUUGCUUUUGCGUGCUACCUCCUAAUGACACCAAAUCUUUCCAGCAGGAAAAUAGAGUUUUAGAUCUGAUUAAACCCUGGCUAAUUUACUGUGGGAUUGUGAUUCUCCCUCCUUUGGAUUCUAAAUGUAAAACCUCUUAAUGAGUCCUAUAAAUGUAUCUCUAGAUAAAAUUCAGAAUCCAUGUUGGAAAACCUGAAACAAAACCCUCCCAGCUAUUGAA